UUUAUUUUCGCCAAAAACCGAAAAAAUCAACGAAAACCCCCAAAUUUAUCCCCGUUCUCUCUCUCUCUCAUCAAAAACCCCAAAUCCCCGUGCGCCUUCUCUCCCCCCCCCCAACUCUGGAUCGGAAAGACUCGCCGCUGCCGUUCGGAGGUCGCCGCUGCCGUCGAAGGUCCCCGCCGCCGUCAACCCUACAGUUGGCCACCGAGUCUUCCACAAAAACCCUAGUUCUUCCUCCCCAAAUCGAACCUCGCUGCCUCUCCUACUCCUGAUUUUCGCCGGACGCCUGACUUUUUCUACUAUUGAUAUUUGUGGAUGUUAACUUUCGGUGGCAUGGUCCCCCUCGUCGAUAUGACCUCUUCACUAACCUCGUCGACAUGGUCCCCCUCGUUGAAUCUCUCAUGGAUCGGAGGGCAAAUCUGUCAUUUAGGAGGGCUUCCAUUGUGCAGACGACAACCCCAAAAGACUCCGUUCUGCCAGCCCUCUUAUAAUGAUGGAAGCGUGCUUUGGAGGAAGAUAGCAGUUCAUAAGGUUGGAACUGGAUGAAAGCAACUUGGUGAACCAAUUAUGAUUCCUAAGGCUACAAUUGAUAUCCUGAAAGAUCAAAUUUUUGGUUUUGACACAUUCUUUAUUACAAGACAGGAACCAUAUGAGGUGAGUGCCAAUUUUUUGACCUUCACUUACUUUGUUAAAGCAAUUUUGCUAGGGUACAAAUGUUUAGCUUUUUUUUUCUCAUCCUUCCAUCCGAAUAUAUUUAUAUCUUUGUCAAUUGAAUUUUGCUAGGGUCAAUUUUGCUAGAAUCCUGAAUAUUGGGAUAUUGUUUUUUGUAAUUUCCAGCACAUUCAAUUCACAGGAUAGAUUUGGAGAUCAGUAUAGACUUUUCCUUCUUAUUAAUCCCCAAGACGAUGAACCAGUGGCACGUCUGUCCUAGAGUGGUUUACUGCCAGUGCAUUUGGAUUGGUUACGAUUUUCAUCUUAUUUCUGAGAAAUGUCCCAGCGCUGCAGUCCAAUUUGUUGUAUGAGGUUUCUUUCAUUUAUUUCUCUUUCUCUUGUUCCUUAACCUAUCAAUUCAAGAAACAUACAUAUAGCCUAUUGUAGGGUUCUGUAGUUUUUGGUUUCAAAGCUGGUCGCAUGUUGCAUUCCUUCUGUAAACAAGUGUGGUAGGGGUGCA